rnacentral:tRNA from 1 species
UGGGAUAUAGCUCAGAGGCACAGCACGUGCCUGGUAAGCCCAAGGUCCUGAGUUCAAGUCUUAGUACCAA